rnacentral:lncRNA from 1 species
CUGCUUGCUGUGUGGGACUGAGCAACUGCUAGAUCCUUGGACUUUCAUUCACAGCUGCUGCUGACCAUUGUUGGGAGUUGGACUUCAGACUGCCGACCAGCAGCUCCCGAGGAACGGUACAACUGAGAUGGCAGCUCGAGGUGAAAGAGAGGAACUAGACAGACGGAAGAAAGAACGGAGCCAAGUCAAAGUGGACUCUGAUCAAAGCUCAAUUUUACUAUUCCAACACGCAGUUAUGAAGGAGGGGAAGGGGGGGCCGAUUCCCGCCAAAUAAUCCUGGAGUCCAGUAGCAGGGUGACCACGUGUAUGGCUCCAGAACAGCAAAGCAGCAGGUUCCAGCAGUGGGCGUGGCAGAACGAUUGAGGGGCAAGCUCCAUCCAGAUGUAAACAGUGGAACCAUUAAGGCUGGGGGAGGGAAGGCUACAGGUUCAGAUACCAUAAAUGCAUAGAGGCCAUAAAUUCUGAUCCAGUAGUGCUGGAGUAAACAGACAGUUGUGAAUCACCCAACAUGGGUGCUGGGGAUUUAACUCAAAUGACCUGGAAGAGCAAACUCUUAACUGCUGAGAGCUCUCUCCAGGGCCAAUAAGAAUUAGUUUUGAACUACAUAUCCAACUCUACCACGUCCAGGUCUCAUGUGAACAUUGAAAAUACUUAGCCAGGCGUGGUGGCGCACACCUUUAAUCCCAGCACUUGGGAGGCAGAGGCAGGUGGAUUUCUGAGUUCAAGGCCAGCCUGGUGUACAAAGUGAGUUUAGGAUAGCCAGGGCUACACAGAGAAACCCUGUCUCAAAAAACCAAAAAACAAAAAAAACAAAAAAAAAGUAUCUUUAAAGAAAAUAAGAUCGAAAACAUGAAUGGAAACAGCUGCAUAAAAUAAAGAAGAUUAUGCAAGAUAUAAAAAAACACUAAACAAAGAUGGAAAUUGAAAAAAAUCAAUCUGAGAUGCUGAAAUGAAAAGUUGAAAAGAAAUCUCUGUGGAAAGGACAGAAUAAAUGAUCUUGAAAAGGGAACAAUCAAAGACAGAUAGAAAAAUAAGAAAGUCCCUGUAUUGGUCAGGGUUCUCUAGAGGAAUGGAACAGAUUUUAUGUAUAUAACCUAUCAUAUCUAUAUACAUAUAUAAGUCUAUCUAUCUAUAUUUAUAAUUUAAAAUAGCUUUUAAGCUGUUGUCUGGCUCUUUCUACAAUGGCUAGAAAGUCCAAGAAUCUGAUAGUUGUUCAGUCCAUGAGGCUGAAUAUCUCAACUUGAUUUCUGUCUAUGUUAGAAUCCUGAAGAAGGCUCUAACAUCAGUGAAGGAACGUGUCAGCAGCAGUGUGGAUGAGUUUGUCAUCAUGAGUGAGGCCAAGCAGGCAAAAAGCUUCAAUCUUCCAUGUCCCUUUAUGUGGACUGCCACCUGAAAGUGUGACACAGACUUAGGGUGGGUCUUCUGAGCACAAUUGAUACAGAUUUAGGGUGGGUUUUCCCACCUCCCAUAAUCCAAUUAGGAAAAUCCCCAAAGGUGUGCUCAGAUGUUUGGAUCUAGUUGGUUCCAGACAAGUUAACCAAGAAUAGCAUCAUAAGUACACACCCUGCCAAUUGGAUGCACAAUCACAACUUCUUCUUCUUUUUGUUUGUUUUUUUUCGAGACAGGGUUUCUCUGUAUAGUCCUGGCUGUCCUAGAACUCAUUUUUGUAGACCAGGCUGGCCUCAAACUCAGAAAUCUGCCUGCCUUUGCCUCCGAGUGCUGGGACAAUCACAACUUCUUAUGUCAGGCUUAAUUUCCAAAGUCAACUUCUCACCUCCACAGGCUCAUGCACAGGCAAGUGUGUCUGCACAUACACACUUACUGAGUCCACUGUAAGAGGACAGUAGACUAGGCAAUGAAAGUAUUGCCCUAAAGUAAAAGCCAUUCUUACCUGCUCCCUCCCCUGAAAGACCACAUCAGGAAAACCAGCCCUGUGAACUUAUCAGACACAUUAGACCGAGGAGAGAGAAAAAACCAUAUAUACAACAUGGAGUAAUUUAGGACAGUGCACAACCUGAUCUCACACCUUCAAGUGCCACUAGCAUUUGCAAGUGUUGUGCAAUGACUAGAAAGAACUGUAAA